rnacentral:rRNA from 1 species
UACGGAGGGUGCAAGCGUUAAUCGGAAUUACUGGGCGUAAAGCGUGCGUAGGCGGUUAUUUAAGUCAGAUGUGAAAGCCCCGGGCUUAACCUGGGAACUGCAUUUGAUACUGGGUAACUAGAGUUUAAUAGAGGAGAGUGGAAUUUCAGGUGUAGCGGUGAAAUGCGUAGAGAUCUGAAGGAACACCAGUGGCGAAGGCGACUCUCUGGAUUAAAACUGACGCUGAGGUACGAAAGCGUGGGUAGCAAACAGGAUUAGAUACCCUGGUAGUCCACGCCGUAAACGAUGUCAACUAGCCGUUGGGCCUUUUAACAGGCUUAGUGGCGCAGCUAACGCAUUAAGUUGACCGCCUGGGGAGUACGGCCGCAAGGUUAAA